UUCGCCCUUAGAGUUUGAUCCUGGCUCAGGACGAACGCUGGCGGCGCGCCUAACACAUGCAAGUCGAACGAGCGAGAGAGAGCUUGCUUUCUCGAGCGAGUGGCGAACGGGUGAGUAACGCGUGAGGAACCUGCCUCAAAGAGGGGGACAACAGUUGGAAACGACUGCUAAUACCGCAUAAGCCCACGACCCGGCAUCGGGUAGAGGGAAAAGGAGCAAUCCGCUUUGAGAUGGCCUCGCGUCCGAUUAGCUAGUUGGUGAGGUAACGGCCCACCAAGGCGACGAUCGGUAGCCGGACUGAGAGGUUGAACGGCCACAUUGGGACUGAGACACGGCCCAGACUCCUACGGGAGGCAGCAGUGGGGAAUAUUGCACAAUGGGGGAAACCCUGAUGCAGCGACGCCGCGUGGAGGAAGAAGGUCUUCGGAUUGUAAACUCCUGUUGUUGGGGAAGAUAAUGACGGUACCCAACAAGGAAGUGACGGCUAACUACGUGCCAGCAGCCGCGGUAAAACGUAGGUCACAAGCGUUGUCCGGAAUUACUGGGUGUAAAGGGAGCGCAGGCGGGAAGACAAGUUGGAAGUGAAAUCCAUGGGCUUAACCCAUGAACUGCUUUCAAAACUGUUUUUCUUGAGUAGUGCAGAGGUAGGCGGAAUUCCCGGUGUAGCGGUGGAAUGCGUAGAUAUCGGGAGGAACACCAGUGGCGAAGGCGGCCUACUGGGGCACCAACUGACGCUGAGGCUCGAAAGUGUGGGUAGCAAACAGGAUUAGAUACCCUGGUAGUCCACACCGUAAACGAUGAUUACUAGGUGUUGGAGGAUUGACCCCUUCAGUGCCGCAGUUAACACAAUAAGUAAUCCACCUGGGGAGUACGACCGCAAGGUUGAAACUCAAAGGAAUUGACGGGGGCCCGCACAAGCAGUGGAGUAUGUGGUUUAAUUCGACGCAACGCGAAGAACCUUACCAAGUCUUGACAUCCUGUGACAGACGUAGAAAUACGUUCUUCCUUCGGGACACAGAGAACAGGUGGUGCAUGGUUGUCGUCGGCUCGUGUCGUGAGAUGUUGGGUUAAGUCCCGCAACGAGCGCAACCCUUAUGGUCAGUUACUACGCAAGAGGACUCUGGCCAGACUGCCGUUGACAAAACGGAGGAAGGUGGGGAUGACGUCAAAUCAUCAUGCCCUUUAUGACUUGGGCUACACACGUACUACAAUGGCGUUAAACAAAGAGAAGCAAGACCGCGAGGUGGAGCAAAACUCAGAAACAACGUCCCAGUUCGGACUGCAGGCUGCAACUCGCCUGCACGAAGUCGGAAUUGCUAGUAAUCGUGGAUCAGCAUGCCACGGUGAAUACGUUCCCGGGCCUUGCACUCACCGCCCGUCA
rnacentral:rRNA from 1 species